rnacentral:rRNA from 2 species
CCUAAUACUGCAAGUCGAGCGGACGGAUGGGAGCUUGCUCCCUGAAGUCAGCGGCGGACGGGUGAGUAACACGUGGGCAACCUGCCUGUAAGACUGGGAUAACUCCGGGAAACCGGGGCUAAUACCGGAUAACUCUUUUCCUCACAUGAGGAAAAGCUGAAAGAUGGUUUCGGCUAUCACUUACAGAUGGGCCCGCGGCGCAUUAGCUAGUUGGUGAGGUAACGGCUCACCAAGGCCACGAUGCGUAGCCGACCUGAGAGGGUGAUCGGCCACACUGGGACUGAGACACGGCCCAGACUCCUACGGGAGGCAGCAGUAGGGAAUCUUCCUCAAUGGACGAAAGUCUGACGGAGCAACGCCUCGUGAGUGAUGAAGGUUUUCUGACCCAAAAACUCUGUUGUCAUGGAAGAACAAGUCCCGGAGUAACUGUCGGUUCCCUGACGGUACCUGA